GGGUCCGACAUAAAUUUUAACAUCUACGUCAGCUAAGCAUUGUGUCCGACGUAGAUGUUAAAAUUUACGUCGGACC
rnacentral:miRNA from 1 species